rnacentral:rRNA from 1 species
ACUACGGGUGGCAGCAGUCGAGAAUCAUUCACAAUGGGGGAAACCCUGAUGGGGCGACGCCGCGUGGGGGAAUGAAGGUCUUCGGAUUGUAAACCCCUGUCGUGUGGGAGCAAAUUAAAAAGAUAGUACCACAAGAGGAAGAGACGGCUAACUCUGUGCCAGCAGCCGCGGUAAUACAGAGGUCUCAAGCGUUGUUCGGAAUGACUGGGCGUAAAGCGUGCGUAGGCUGUUUCGUAAGACGUGUGUGAAAGGCGCGGGCCCAACCCGCGGACGGCACAUGAGACGGCGAGGCUAGAGUAAUGGAGGGGGAACCGGAAUUCUCGGUGUAGCAGUGAAAUGCGUAGAUAUCGGGAGGAACACUCGUGGCGAAGGCGGGUUCCUGGACAUUAACUGACGCUGAGGCACGAAGGCCAGGGGAGCGAAAAGGAUUAGAUACCCUAGUAGUC